rnacentral:rRNA from 1 species
GUGUCAGCAGCCGCGGUAAGACAGAGGCCCCGAGCGUUAAUCGGAAUUACUGGGCGUAAAGCGUGCGCAGGCGGUUCGUUAAGUUCGUUGUGAAAGCCCCGGGCUCAACCUGGGAACUGCAAUGGAAACUGGCGGGCUUGAAUGCGGCAGAGGGGGGUGGAAUUCCGCGUGUAGCAGUGAAAUGCGUAGAUAUGACACAGAACACCAAUUGCGAAGGCAGCUCGCUAAACCAUAACUGACGCUGAUGCACGAAAGCGUGGGGAGCAAACAGGAUUAGAUACCCUGGUAGUCCACGCCCUAAACGAUGAUAACUCGUUGUUGGCGAUACACAGUCAGCGACUAAGCGAAAGCAUUAAGUUAUCCACCUGGGGAGUACGACCGCAAGGUUGAA